GCGGCGUGCCUAAUACAUGCAAGUCGUACGCUUCUUUUUCCUCCGGAGCUUGCUCCACCGGAAAAAGAAGAGUGGCGAACGGGUGAGUAACACGUGGGUAACCUACCCAUCAGAAGGGGAUAACACUUGGAAACAGGUGCUAAUACCGUAUAACAAUCGAAACCGCAUGGUUUUGAUUUGAAAGGCGCUUUCGGGUGUCGCUGAUGGAUGGACCCGCGGUGCAUUAGCUAGUUGGUGAGGUAACGGCUCACCAAGGCUACGAUGCAUAGCCGACCUGAGAGGGUGAUCGGCCACAUUGGGACUGAGACACGGCCCAAACUCCUACGGGAGGCAGCAGUAGGGAAUCUUCGGCAAUGGACGAAAGUCUGACCGAGCAACGCCGCGUGAGUGAAGAAGGUUUUCGGAUCGUAAAACUCUGUUGUUAGAGAAGAACAAGGAUGAGAGUAACCGUUCAUCCCUUGACGGUAUCUAACCAGAAAGCCACGGCUAACUACGUGCCAGCAGCCGCGGUAAUACGUAGGUGGCAAGCGUUGUCCGGAUUUAUUGGGCGUAAAGCGAGCGCAGGCGGUUUCUUAAGUCUGAUGUGAAAGCCCCCGGCUCAACCGGGGAGGGUCAUUGGAAACUGGGAGACUUGAGUGCAGAAGAGGAGAGUGGAAUUCCAUGUGUAGCGGUGAAAUGCGUAGAUAUAUGGAGGAACACCAGUGGCGAAGGCGGCUCUCUGGUCUGUAACUGACGCUGAGGCUCGAAAGCGUGGGGAGCAAACAGGAUUAGAUACCCUGGUAGUCCACGCCGUAAACGAUGAGUGCUAAGUGUUGGAGGGUUUCCGCCCUUCAGUGCUGCAGCUAACGCAUUAAGCACUCCGCCUGGGGAGCACGACCGCAAGGUUGAAACUCAAAGGAAUUGACGGGGGCCCGCACAAGCGGUGGAGCAUGUGGUUUAAUUCGAAGCAACGCGAAGAACCUUACCAGGUCUUGACAUCCUUUGACCACUCUAGAGAUAGAGCUUCCCCUUCGGGGGCAAAGUGACAGGUGGUGCAUGGUUGUCGUCAGCUCGUGUCGUGAGAUGUUGGGUUAAGUCCCGCAACGAGCGCAACCCUUAUUGUUAGUUGCCAUCAUUCAGUUGGGCACUCUAGCAAGACUGCCGGUGACAAACCGGAGGAAGGUGGGGAUGACGUCAAAUCAUCAUGCCCCUUAUGACCUGGGCUACACACGUGCUACAAUGGGAAGUACAACGAGUCGCGAAGUCGCGAGGCUAAGCUAAUCUCUUAAAGCUUCUCUCAGUUCGGAUUGUAGGCUGCAACUCGCCUACAUGAAGCCGGAAUCGCUAGUAAUCGCGGAUCAGCACGCCGCGGUGAAUACGUUCCCGGGCCUUGUACACACCGCCCGUCACACCACGAGAGUUUGUAACACCCGAAGUCGGUGAGGUAACCUUUAGGAGCCAGCCGCCUAAGGUGGGAUAGAUGAUUG
rnacentral:rRNA from 1 species